CAAUAGCGUAUAUUAAAGUUGUUGCGGUUAAAAAGCUCGUAGUUGGAUUUCUGCUGAGAACGACCGGUCCGCCCUUUGGGUGUGUAUCUGGCUCUUUCUUGGCAUCUUCUUGGUGAACGUUGCUGCACUUGACUGUGUGGAGCGCUACCCAGGACUUUUACUUUGAGGAAAUUAGAGUGUUUCAAGCAGGCAUACGCCUUGAAUACAUUAGCAUGGAAUAAUAAGAUAGGACCUCGGUUCUAUUUUGUUGGUUUCUAGAGCUGAGGUAAUGAUUAAUAGGGACAAUUGGGGGUAUCCGUAUCAUCGCGUCAGAGGUGGAAUUCUUGGAUUGCGAUGCGACGAACUACUGCGAAAGCAUUUACCAAGGAUGUUUUCAUUGA
rnacentral:rRNA from 1 species